AAAUUUAGGUUACCACAAACCAAGGACCUUCAAAGCCCUAAACAUCGAGCUAACACCUCAUAAUUUCUG
rnacentral:tRNA from 1 species